GCGCUCACUUCAGCAGCACAUAUACUAAAAUUUGGACCCAUACAGAGAAGAUUAGCAUGGCCCCUGCGCAUGGAGGACAUGCAAAUUUGUGAAGCAUUCCAUAUUUGU